rnacentral:rRNA from 1 species
UACGUAGGGUGCGAGCGUUACUCGGAAUUACUGGGCGUAAAGUGUGCGCAGGUGGCUUCGCAAGUCGAGUGUGAAAUCCCCGGGCUUAACCUGGGAACUGCAUUUGUGACUGCAUGGCUAGAGUGCGGCAGAGGGGGAUGGAAUUCCGCGUGUAGCAGUGAAAUGCGUAGAUAUGCGGAGGAACACCGAUGGCGAAGGCAAUCCCCUGGGCCUGCACUGACGCUCAUGCACGAAAGCGUGGGGAGCAAACAGG